UGGGGAAUAUUGCACAAUGGACGGAAGUCUGAUGCAGCAACGCCGCGUGCGGGAUGACGGCCUUCGGGUUGUAAACCGCUUUUUCUCAUGACGAAGUUUUUUGACGGUAGUGGGGGAAGAAGCACCGGCUAACUACGUGCCAGCAGCCGCGGUGAUACGUAGGGUGCGAGCGUUGUCCGGAAUUAUUGGGCGUAAAGAGCUUGUAGGCGGUUUGUCGCGUCGAUAGUGCAAACUCAGUGCUUAACGCUGAGCCUGCUGUUGAUACGGGCAGACUAGAGGAAGGUAGGGGAGAAUGGAAUUCCCGGUGGAGCGGUGGAAUGCGCAGAUAUCGGGAGGAACACCGGUGGCGAAGGCGGUUCUCUGGGCCUAUCCUGACGCUGAGAAGCGAAAGCGUGGGGAGCGAACAGG
rnacentral:rRNA from 1 species